rnacentral:tRNA from 2 species
GCUCCCGUAGCUCAGCUGGAUAGAGCGACGGCCUUCUAAGCCGUAGGUCGCAGGUUCGAGCCCUGCCGGGGGUACCA